rnacentral:ncRNA from 1 species
UCAAAGACAGUGAAGAAGAGGAGUACAUGAAGUUCACCAAAAGAGAGGAAAGCCCUUGGCUGAAAGGCUUUCUAGGAAAGAAAUCAUGGAAGGUAGCUUCUGAGUUUCUAGGUUGAAAUAGUAGUAGACUUAGACGGGAAAUCCGUUACAAUAAAUUAAGAGCCAGAAGUUCUGGAAAUAAGGUGGUACCGCGAAACAAAACCCUUCGUCCUUAAU